CCUACGGGUGGCAGCAGUGAGGAAUAUUGGUCAAUGGGCGCAAGCCUGAACCAGCCAAGUCGCGUGAAGGAAGAAGGCUCUAUGGGUUGUAAACUUCUUUUAUAAAGGAAUAAAGGGAGGCACGUGUGCAUUUUUGUAUGUACCUUAUGAAUAAGGAUCGGCUAACUCCGUGCCAGCAGCCGCGGUAAUACGGAGGAUGCGAGCGUUAUCCGGAUUUAUUGGGUUUAAAGGGAGCGUAGGUGGUUUUUUAAGUCAGUGGUGAAAGUUUGUGGCUCAACCAUAAAAUUGCAAUUGAUACUGGCAGACUUGAGUGUAUUUGAGGUAGGCGGAAUGCGUGGUGUAGCGGUGAAAUGCAUAGAUAUCACGCAGAACUCCGAUUGCGAAGGCAGCUUACUAAACUAUCACUGACACUGAGGCACGAAAGUGUGGGGAUCAAACAGGAUUAGAUACCCUUGUAGUC
rnacentral:rRNA from 1 species